UACCGUUUCUCAUAAAUACAGUUGAAUACUGUAAAUAAACAUUAAUAUGACAAACAAAAUAAUAACAGCAAGCUCCUGUUCAGUCUUACGGGAUAAUACAGUAUUUUUUGGUUUGGUCAGGCAUGUCAGACAUGUGACGAGCUCAUCUGCAACCAUGAGUAAAACUGAUUUAACUACACUGUUUUUCUGCAUUUUAUUAUACGAGAAGGAAGCAGAAUUAAAGACUGUCUAUCCAUUUUCACUCCGAUUGUGACCCUACCAGCACUGAGACGGACGACGAAUUCACUUGUUUUUUACUCCUCGCCUGUAUAUCAAGUUGCUGGUGAUGAAGUAACAUUUGGAGGUUGGAUGAUCAGCAGUGAAAACAUCAUCAUCUGUGAAGGCAAGAUGAAGCUGCGAGGACACUGGAGUUUGUUCAAAGAUGCUUAAUUGGUGUGAACCCUAAGAGGGGAACAAAAGCCAGGCAGGUGAAGGUGUCCAAGAAGACAGGAAAGCUUGUCCAGAAAAACGCAGCAACUGUUAAUCCCCAUGUGACCACCCUCAUCAAAAACUUCAUGGACUUUGAGUGGCUUUCACAUUGUAUUCUGCAGUGUUGUGAUAUUUAUGUGACAUCACAGCAUUAUGUUUUAUUCAGCCCAGUCUCAUUAGUGAGGCAGAAACUGACAUUUAAGAAUGCACUGAAUUUUGUUAUAUUUAAUAAAAACAGUGUUUUAUCAUCAUCCUUUGUUUGAGAAUUUUUUUGCAAGCAAUUUUAAGUGUUUAUUUUAAAAUUACAUUUUAACAAUGCUAGAAAAAUCACAUUCUACAGUAUAAAUAACAGCAGGAACCCUAAAAUAACAGUAUAAUGCAUCCA